CACUUGAGCCUUCCGGAGGAGUCCUCCGGUGCUGCCCGCGAAGAUCGGGGACGGGGUGCUGGGGUCGAGCUCGGGUGGGGAGAAUCCGGCCGGAGCCUCGACAGAAGUCUCGGCUUCGGCGGAGACCUUGAAAGAGCGGGAAGAGGAGGCGGCCUUGAGGUGGGGCUUGGAGGUGAGGAAGGAGAGAGUUGAGGAUUGCUUCCAUGGAAUGGAAAUGCCGGUGGAUUUGGGAGUGGAGAGAGAUGGGGUGAAGAGGGUGGCUUGAGUGGCCAUGGCCAUGGGAUUUGGAGCAGAGGAAGAGGAUUGGGAAUGGUGGAUUGAGAAUGGAGGAUUGAGGAAGAA
rnacentral:lncRNA from 1 species